rnacentral:rRNA from 1 species
UACGUAGGGGGCAAGCGUUGUCCGGAGUUACUGGGCGUAAAGCGCACGCAGGCGGUCUCUUAAGUUUGGAGUGACAGUUGGUGGCUUAACUGCCAAAGUGCUUCGAAAACUGAGAGACUUGAGGGCUUCAGAGGGACACGGAAUUCCGGGUGGAGUGGUGAAAUGCGUAGAGAUCCGGAGGAACACCAAAGGCGAAGGCAGUGUCCUGGGGAGUACCUGACGCUCAGGUGCGAAAGCGUGGGGAGCGAACAGG